CAUAGAACAUACUUGGUUCUAAAGUAAACAACAUAAUAAGCUUGUACAGUACAAUGCCGUCUGUAGCAGAAUUUUACUUUAAAGAGGGAUUGGCCCACACGGAGGAUCAUGUGUUGGUGAAGAAUCUGUUUCUUACUAAUAUCAAAGAAAGUCUGGAGCAGCAGCAGAUUCAAAAGUAUUUCGAGACAUUUGGAUGCUUUGACUUCUUGCAUCUGUUUCCGAGUGGAAGUAUAAAAAGAAUAAGAACUGGCUAACGUUGUUUUCGAGAAUCCUCGUCAUGCUGCCAAUGCAUUGAAGAGACAGUUCCACUAUUUCAAGAGAUGCCGUAAACCAGUUCGGCCAAGUUAUAGUUGGCUUCAACCAUAUGCCGAGAAAAUGCCGAAUAAACCGGAUAAUGUUUAUCCCAAUGAUCCCAAACCCGAUGCCAUUUAAAACUAAACUAUCAAUGCCUAGAGCAUAUAUUCCAAAAAUUAUCACAAUCUGAUCGCAUUCACUUUGCACGCACCUGUUUUCGUUUCCGAUACAUUAAUGAGGGAAUGUCGACGUCGCUGGACAAAUCUUUCAGCUUUGAUUUAUUUAAAGAAAUGACUGUGUUGGAGUUGCAAGAUUUUUUUCAACUUUCCGGACGCAAUGUAAAGAAAAUCGAAGGUGAAAUACCGAAGCAUCACUGUGACCCCGUCUGCAACUUUCUUGGAAAGCAUUCCAUUAAUUUACAGUCAAUGAUAAUCAAGGACACCAGACUUACAUCGGCAAACAUAUUUAAAAUGUUCGCAAACCUAAAUAGUCUUCGAAACCUGAAAUUAACUAGAUGCAAUCUCAGAAAUGAGGAUCUACAAGCGCUCGAGCAUUUGAUCGAGCUUAAGAAACUGGAUUUAUCCCAUAAUAAUAUGUUAAGUGCAAAGAGCUUGAAUUGUUUGCCAUAGUCUAUUGAGUCGCUGACUCUAAAAGACUGCGAUAUGAGACGACACCCGGAAUUGUUGAUCAAAAUAUUUGGGAGGUUCCCGCUGCUUAAGGAAUUAUACAUACCAAGCUUUAUUCUCGGAUUUCCGUGUAUCGAGCAGCUAAUUAGUGACAAUUGCUGUAAAUUUUUGGAAUAUUGUCUCCAUUAACUGCAACGAGGACGAGAUUGAUGAUUAUUGUCAUAUUGCAAGGCUACCAAGCCUUAAGAAACUAAUGUUGGUUAUUCGUUGGUAUGGAAAAGCAAUGCCUCCAAAGCUUAUGACAUGGCUGGUGAAGUAUAAGUCCAAGCAGUUGGAGCAUUUUGAUAUAAAUGCAAUGUAUGGAAGCUUUAUCAAUGCCGAGAUCCUUCAGAUGAUUGGAAAUCUUAGAGCAUUGCAUACGUUUAGUUUGCCAAACAGCGAUGCGAUCACCGAUCGUGGAUUACAAGCACUGUUAACUUUGCAGGAUUUAACAGAUAUUAAACUCAAUUUUAAUAGGAAAAUUACGGAAAAUGGUGUACUCCGACCGAUCCUUGCCUGUCCCAAGCUGCAAGUGUUACAUCUGUUAAAUUGUGAUCAACUAACCAACAAUAUUGUUAAACCUAAAAAACAAUCAUCAUAAUCGUAUGCUUCCUUUUAAACUUUUUAUGUUCGGCACCAAAGUCAAUAAAUCUACACUACAAAAUGCGGAUGUGGCUGCCAGGAAUAUAAUCGUUGUGGUAUUACAAUUAAAUUUUCAAAUAUAUACAUUUUAAUAU